rnacentral:rRNA from 1 species
CCUACGGGAGGCAGCAGUCGGGAAUAUUGCCCAAUGGUCGCAAGACUGAGGCAGCAACGCCGCGUGCGCGAUGAAGGCCUUCGGGUCGUAAAGCGCUUUUCGGGUGGAUGAGGAAGGACAGUACACCCGGAAUAAGGAACGGCUAACUACGUGCCAGCAGCCGCGGUAAAACGUAGGUUCCGAGCGUUAUCCGGAUUUACUGGGCGUAAAGCGCGUUCAGGCGGUUUGGCAAGUCGGGCAUGAAAUCUCUCGGCUCAACCGGGAGAGGUUGUCCGAUACUGCUGGACUUGAGGGCAGUAGAGGGUGGUGGAAUUCCGGGUGUAGUGGUGAAAUGCGUAGAUAUCCGGAGGAACACCAGUGGCGAAAGCGGCCACCUGGACUGUACCUGACGCUCAAACGCGAAAGCUAGGGGAGCGAACGGGAUUAGAAACCCCGGUAGUCCUAGCUAUAAACGAUGUUGACUAGGUGUCGACGGUCUAAACCCCGCCGGUGCCGGAGCAAACGCAUUAAGUCAACCGCCUGGGACUACGGCCGCAGGUUAAACCUAAGGAAUUGACGGCNGAGAGNGCGAGCGACGACGAAGGGAGUAG